rnacentral:lncRNA from 1 species
CCUCCCAUCCCCCCUGCUGUCCACCUUCAAAGCACCAGGGCCCCCGCUUAUUCUUGCCCCGUCCACACAGGGUCUCCACUCAUGGACAUGCUGCAGUUAGCAGAAGAGCCAGUGCCACAGGCUGGGCAGGAGCUGAGGGUGUGGCCUCCAGGGGCCCAGGAGCCCUGCACCGUGAGGCCAGCCCAGGUGGAGCCACUACUGCGGCUCUGCCUCCAGCAGGGACAGCUGUGUGAGCCGCUCCCAUCCCUGGCAGAGUCUAGAGCCUUGGCCCAGCUGUCCCUGAGCCGACUCAGCCCUGAGCACAGGCGGCUGCGGAGCCCUGCACAGUACCAGGUGGUGCUGUCCGAGAGGCUGCAGGCCCUGGUGAACAGUCUGUGUGCGGGGCAGUCCCCCUGAGACUCGGAGCGGGGCUGACUGGAAACAACACGAAUCACUCACUUUUCCCCAC